GAAUUGAAUUUCCUGUCCUAAAACACCUCCCUGAGGUUCUUUUUUACUCAAAUGAGAAGUACAAAUCAAGAGGUCAAAUUAGCCAUUUAUUUGUAAAUGAAGAGCAUUUUCUCUGCAGCCUGCCUCAUGGUCUUCGCCGUGUCCUGGCUGCAUGGUCUGAUUCCAACCCGUUUGUUUCUGGCUCUUGCAGGCUUGCAGGGGUGUGUCACCAGUACAAACACUUACAGAUCAUUUAAUGUUCAUACCAGAAGCCAUCUUAACCAAUAUCACUGAUCUCAGGCAACCCAUCCCCCAAUCAUGACUCACUCCUACGUUCCUGAAACUGGCAUUAACACAUAAUUGGAAAUCAAAAAGUAAUUAAAAAACAAGUGAAUAGAAAGCAGGUAAAUAUGAAAAAACAUUAAUUAAAAAAAGUAUUAAGAUGCAUAAAAUGAAAUCCAUUUGAAAAAAUUAAUAAAAUAUAGUGUAUGAAAAGCUUUUGCGAAAAUAUAGGACGUUUUUUGUGAAAAUAAAAUCCUACAACAUACAUCUUUGAACCUGGUCUAGUGGAUCUUGUUGAAAAUGAAAGCAAUUGGCCAAAGUUGUUCCGAAGUUCCUGGGAUUGGACGAAGUCUUUGUAUUGUGUAUUAUAUGUGACAAGUGGAGAAAUUGCAACAGUGGAAAAUCUUGGAGGGAAUGUUUAAAUAUUCAAAAAAUGAAUAUUUCGCAGUUCACUUUUUGCAGUCUCACUGUUUCGUAAAUAUUUUCAGUGCAGGUUUCCACCUGUUAGCUAUUGAUUUGUCAAGGAAUCUCUUUUGUGCAGGGUCUUCUGUAUAGAGAUGCUGCAUGAGCAGCUUGAAAAAGUUACAUAAAUCUUUGAUGGCAAGCAGCUCUUCAUUUUUUUUCUAUAGUAAUUUAUUAGACAUAUAAAUGUGAGGGAAUUUACAGCCUUAAAACAUUUGUAAUCCUACUUUGCAGAUUUUACUUAUAAUGGGGUAUUUAUGGAACAUAUAUCUUGCAAUAAACAAGGGAACACUGUAUUGAUGUUUGGACAUGGCUCAGAAACUUUAUAUAUUCCACAAUUUUACACACCUGACAAAAAAAAAAAAAAAA